GGCCUCUUCAGGACGUCUCUGCUGAUUG
rnacentral:piRNA from 1 species